rnacentral:tRNA from 2 species
GCCCAGAUGCUGGAACAGGUAGACAGGCGGGGUUGAGGGCCCCGUGUCCAUUAGGACGUGAGGGUUCGACCCCCUCUCUGGGCACCA